AGCGGCUCCUCCCCGCCGCGGACAGCGCCGGCCGGGAGCUGAGGUGCGGGUUAAAGAGGCAAAGCUGCUGCCAUCUGCGGGUGCCGAGGUUUGUGUGCUCGUCACAGGGUCCCUUCUGGAGGUCAUCUGUCCCAGCAGCCCUGCCGAGGCAGGGUCACCUGGAGCAGGAACGCGUCCAGCUGAUGAUCAGAGCAGGAAAUGGUGCUCCAGGGCCUGAACUUAAGAGGUGCUGAGGAACCCCAUCUUCCCUGAAGUCACUGGGAGACACCGGUACUCAGUACCUGCCGGGCCAGACCCAAACCAUGCACAGACAGCACCCCCCAGACCUUAAAUCCUUUGGAUCCUGCAGUGCUCAGUCCUUGGUGCUGAUGUGAAUUCAGACUGAGUGAGAAAUCAGCUCCUAAAUUACACUUUCGCUCCUGAAACCGGACUAGAUUCCAACCACUUCUUGCCGGAAUUCACCCAAAGUGACUCAUCCCUUGCUCUAUCAAGCGGCAAUUGUUUGGAGGGAGAUUCAUCAUUCAGAAUUGAUUUUUAAGGCAGUUUUAUAAGUAUCUCCCCCCUUUUUUUUUUGUGUGUGUGAUGCAGCAAUGUUUGUCAGAGAUAUUUACAAUCUCACUCCUCCUCCUCCAAAAUCUUCCCACAUUCAAACUGUCAAGACUAAAUAAGCUUGAAACAAUCAUUUCUAUGAGCAAUCAUAAAAUUGAUGGUGUUUAGAUAGUAUUGGCUGCCAGUCUACCUAGGUGCUUGAGAUGGGAGCAGACUGACUUAGGAUGCUUAAAAUACUGAAAGCAUUUCAGCCUAACUGGGAAAGAGCUAACAGAAAAACACAGGUAUUUAACCACCUGAAUGAUGAUGCCAACAAAUGGUGUCUGAGUUUGUGGCUCUGUCUAGAAUAAGGGAAAAAGCUUUGGAAAGGGGCUGUUGGAACGCUGGCAGAAAAAUCUGUGGUUGAGUGGAGUGAUGCCUGCUCUGGCCUGGGUCUGUCCCAGCUCCCCUGGGCCUGGGAUGCAGCUGCUAAUCCUGGCCUAAGGAAAGGACCGGGCAGAGCGCUGCCGACUUCAGGCUGCAGGAGUGGAGGCAGAGUGCCUGACAUGGGGUGGAAAAACAACAGCAAGGGAGCGUGGAGACAAGCUCCUGAUCCUGCCUAACUAAGCCCUUGGUAAUGCUAAUGAAGAUUCCCUCAUUACAUCAGUCAUUGGUGCUGCUCCUCUCAAUUAGCCCUUUAGAAAGGGACUUGAUUAAGUUGCCUGAUUGUCCCCUGGCACCUGAGAUCCUGCCUGGGCCAGAGCUGUGCCUCUCCCCACGUCAGCUGCGGCAGACAUGGCAGAGGAUGCUGUAGGGUAUCUCAAGUGACAGUGGACACCCACAUUUAGGCAACUGAGUCGAGCCCUGUGCCCCUAAAGAAGGCCUGGCUUUUAUGCUCAAGUGUUAAGUUCUCUGUAAGGGGGAGGAGAAGAAUGGAGAAUUUAACUAGAACACUAAAGUUUGUAUCAGAAAAGGGUUUUUUUUUCCCAUUCCAGUAUGAUUCUACUGAGUUUUCUGAAAGCAAGUGGAGCCCAAUCUGUCUUCAGAAGAGGACAGAUCCCCUGCUGUGCUUCUGCCCUCACCCACCCAACCUCAGGGAGCUGUAGCAGCAAGGCCAGAGUGGUUUCAGCUUUCCAGAAACAAAGCAGGAACAGAGAUAAAAGCUCCACGGACUGAGAUCCAAUUGGAAACCUUCUGGAUCCCUGGGCUUGCUCACCCAGAAUAAAACCUUGAAAGUUUCACAACAUUCCAAAGAAAAAAAAAAAGAAACCCUGUGCAGCUAUUGAGAAUUGGAUUUCUUAAGACUUCUUUGAAGAAGAAAAUAAAUAGGGGAAAGAUGUAAUUAAAUUUUUCAGGGCCCAGUUCCGUUUUCCACAUUCUUUGCAUCAAUACAACCUCCUUGGCCUCUAAUGCCCUCCAGCCUCAUGUUAGCAAGAUGGGAAUUGGGGCUUCUGAUGGCCUGGAAUGUUUUCUUUAUGUGCACUACAGUUUUCGUUGUGGGAACUGACAAAAUCUCACUGCUACCAGAAACCCCAACUGGAUUCUCCUUCCAUAUUGUGCUCCAAAAUCCCCAUUCAGUGUUCCUCUCCCCCCCCACCGGCCCUGCUGUGGGGACAGUCACAGCAGGACCACGGAUGUGUCUCAGGAUACUCAGUUCUGUCUCAGCAUGGCUGGAUCAGUGGGUUGGGGUUUCUCAUCUACACGAAGCAAGGCCUCCAUCUCCAUGUGUGACACAGGUGAGCAACCCCACGGGCUCGGGGUGCCUCCACCUGGCCUGGUUGUGUCUGUGUGCAAACGCGCAUACAUUUCAUACAGCAAUCUGAAACUCAGGCAGAAAAGACACAGGAGCCUGGCUGAGACCCAUACAACUGUUAUAUUGGCGUCAGUCUAAAGAAAGCAAUGAUACAUUGCUUUGGAAAUUAUCAAGAAAUGUAAAAAAUGCAUUUGCCCUUUUUUUUUUUUUUGUUGUUGUUGUUGUCGUCGUAGUCACCGGGGCAGGGUUGUGAGUCAGAAAACAAAGCAGAAAUAGAUGCGGUUCUGUACAUGGCGCCUCUCUGGCUGUCCCUCCGUGCUGGGGUGUGGUGGGCAGGGCAAGAAAACAGGCGGGACCCCUGCGGUAGCAGCAGCAUCGACACCAUCAUCGUCCACAUGUCCAGCUGAAGAGGCAGACGAUGCACAAAAGGUCUGUGGACAAUGGAACUCCAGCUCUGGAUCGUGAGUUUGCUUUCCCAUCACGUCAGCCACACAGAAAUAGGGAAGAAAAAAAGAAAUGCACUCGAUGUGGCUGGCCCAGUACUGUCUGGACUAAUGAGCAGGAGUGAUACAGGGAGGAGGUUUGUUGUUUUAUAAGAAACGUCUUUAGUCUGCAGUGUCCUCUUGUGAGUCAGAGAUGCUCAGAGGCAAACAGCAGAUCGUUUUCCCCAUUUUUUCCUUCCACGCCACUUCUCAGCCAUGGGUUCCUUCAAAGCUUCCAUCCACAGCACAGUGAUUGUACCCACCAUCCACUCCCAUGCACAGGGAAACACUCCAGGAAUGAAACCUGCCCCCUCCUUCCCCCACUGUCCCCCAGACUCUGCCUCACUCGCAGGAGGCAGCAGCUCUUUGCUCAGGCCUGUCACAAUGUGCACAUUGGAAGUACCUCAAAUGAUAAAAGGAAAAAAAAAGAAAGCCACCCUCCCCAGAAAGAGAAAUUUGCACAGCUGGCACCAGCAAUUACUAAAUUUAACACCUGCACCUCAGACUGUAAAAGUCAUUUGCAUUCUCUGCUAGCCAAACAUUUUCCACUCUGCAGCACCUAUGGGGUCUUGCAGGAGAGAGCAGGGGUUUCCCCUGGCCAUUGUAGGCUCUGACCCCUGAGCAGUAGCAGCUUUCACAAAGAAUGCCUGGGGCACAAGGUCAUUUUCCUUCCCAUCCAGAAAAAUCCUAAAAGAUGGGCUGUCAAGCAUUGAAAAUGCUCAUUGUCACCACGAAUUGCUAUUUUUCAGGAAUAGUGAAGAACCCUUAUCUUCCAUUGGGAGGGUCAGAUGGACUUUGCAGUGAAAGGAAAUGAGUUAGGGAGCCCUUACACGGCAUUUUUCCCUUUUGAGUACCUUUGGAGCACAGCAGCAGCAGCAAACUCACAGGGAGACACAUGUGUGUGCCCAUCUCCAUACAGGCACCAGGGAUGAAAGGAUGAGACUGACCCCCAUCACCUGGUUACUUUCUCCAGGGAAGCCUUGAAUUAUGACUUUGACCACAGAUGCUUGUACAAAUGGAUUCCUAUUUCUCUAGUAUUUGGUUUUUUUCCCAAGGUAUCUUGAGCUGAUACUGGCCACUUCAAAAAGUACAGUCAAAAAUACCCUUUGCUAUUUCUCCUUCAUGCCCCAGAGAAUCGAGAAGAAAAACAAGAGCGUUACAAAAAUAAUGUAAUCAAUGUAUGCAGUGAAGGGUGUUCUCAGAUAUCUGCAGAAGUGCAAGUUUUGACUCAAAGUUUAGCUCUGAGUCAGAUCACACCUCAGAACCGAUCUGCGAGUUUGUGAAUCAUCCCGAGGAGGGAGAAAAACCAGCAGCAGUCUAGACAAAAACCAGUUGCAUAAAAUCUAACAAUACCUGCCUGUUUUUUCAGCCUCUCUCGAGGUUAGGGCCAACCAUCAGUGUGUGAGAGUUUCAGGAACUGUGGCUGGGACAUGCUGUGCUGCCAGGUGUUUUGUGACUUAGUACCUGACCCAUCCACUAAAGUCUGGGAAAAGGAUUGGAACACCAGGAACACCAAAACCUCACUUGGCACCUGCAUUCUUGACCAGACUGCAGCAAUUCUCCCAAAAAAAGAUCCACAGCUCUCUCCCUCUGCUUUCAGCCCAGACCAGGGUUAGAUAACUUUACUUUCCCAACUAUUCUGAUUCUUUCCUUUCUUAUCUCAGGAUCCUGCUAAAAUUGAAGGGGGUUCAGCUAUUUAAUAAAAUAAUUUUGAGGCCAGAUUUUUUUUCCCUUCCCCUUGCUGCUUCAAUUGCUGGUGCCAGCUGAACGUGAAGGAUGGAUCUGCCAAAUGGGCUUUGGGGGUCUUGCCACCCUUGAGUGGGACGAGACCUUUAGAGGAACUGAGCAAAAGGAAAGAAAACAAAGCCUGAAUAAAAUGUUCCCAGUCUCGGGAAGAAAGAUUCUCUACCGAUAAAAGUCAUCGUGCACGUUAAAAGGGAGUGAGGAAGAAGGAAAAUGAACACAAGAUAUGCAAAAUCAGUAACGUUCAACCUGUCAGUGGAUUGCAGAAUAGUUACUUACACCAGGUACACUUUGUUCAUCGUACAAAUUAAAAAAGGAAAAAAAAAAAAAAGUAAUGAAAUAGUACCCUUUCCCCAACCACACGUAAAAAAGCACUUAAAAGUUCAAAGGUAAAGCUUGGCACAUUCCAAAUACGAAAUGAUUCACUUGACAUGCAGCAAAAUAUACAAGAAGUGAUUCUUUUUUUUUCUUUUUUUUUUUAAA